UACGUAGGGGCUAGCGUUAUCCGGAAUUACUGGGCGUAAAGGGUGCGUAGGCGGUCUUUCAAGCCAGAAGUGAAAGGCUACGGCUCAACCGUAGUAAGCUUUUGGAACUGUAAGACUUGAGUGCAGGAGAGGAGAGUGGAAUUCCUAGUGUAGCGGUGAAAUGCGUAGAUAUUAGGAGGAACACCAGUAGCGAAGGCGGCUCUCUGGACCGUAACUGACGCUGAGACACGAAAGCGUGGGGAGCAGACAGGAUUAGAUACCCUGGUAGUCCCU
rnacentral:rRNA from 1 species